rnacentral:rRNA from 1 species
GUGCCAGCCGCCGCGGUAAUACGUAGGUGGCAAGCGUUGUCCGGAAUUAUUGGGCGUAAAGCGCGCGCAGGCGGUCCUUUAAGUCUGAUGUGAAAGCCCACGGCUCAACCGUGGAGGGUCAUUGGAAACUGGAGGACUUGAGUGCAGAAGAGGAAAGUGGAAUUCCAUGUGUAGCGGUGAAAUGCGUAGAGAUGUGGAGGAACACCAGUGGCGAAGGCGACUUUCUGGUCUGUAACUGACGCUGAGGCGCG